AAGUCGUAACAAGGUUUCCGUAGGUGAACCUGCGGAAGGAUCAUUGUCGAAACCUGCACAGCAGAACAUCCCGCGAACUCGUUGCAUAACAAAUGCGGGUGCGAGCCUCCCAUGACGUAGCGUCGCCCCUCCGAGGUCGGCGACGCGCAUGAUGGCUCGCCCUUCAACUAAUAACAACCCCCGGCGCAGACUGCGCCAAGGAACAUGAGCAAACAAAGAGUGCGCCGCCUUGUCCGGCCCACCGGAACGCGGCGGCUGCGACGUCUAAUAUUCUAAGAGAACGACUCUCGGCAACGGAUAUCUCGGCUCUCGCAUCGAUGAAGAACGUAGCGAAAUGCGAUACUUGGUGUGAAUUGCAGAAUCCCGUGAACCAUCGAGUCUUUGAACGCAAGUUGCACCCGAAGCCACUAGGCCGAGGGCACGUCUGCCUGGGCGUCAUGCACAGCGUCGCCCCCCACCCCUUUGCAUCUUGCCGGGUGAAGGGGGCGGAGAUUGACCUCCCGUCGGUUGCAGCCUGCGGUUGGUCUAAAAUGGGAGCUCGGGGUGAGCCGUGCUGCGACGGUUGGUGGUCGACGAGGCCCAAGCCAAGGUUGCAUCACGUCGCGCAAGCGUUCAACCCUCGACGCUCAUUGGACCCUGUUGAGCCGCGCACGAGCAAGGCUCCAACGUCGCGACCCUAGGUCAGGCGGGGCUACCCGCU
rnacentral:rRNA from 1 species